GACGAACGCUGGCGGCAUGCCUAAUACAUGCAAGUCGAACGCUAAAGCACUCUGCUUGCGGGGUGCGGAUGAGUGGCGAACGGGUGAGUCACACGAGGGAACUCUGCCUAUCAGUGGGGGAUAACAUUCGGAAACGGAUGCUAAUACGGCAUAUGUUCUUGGACCGCCUGGUCCUUGGAAGAAAGACGGCUUUGCUGUCGCGUAUAGAUGCUCACGCGGCGUAUUAGUUGGUUGGUGGGGUUAAGGCCUACGACGACGAGUAUUCGUAGCCGAGCUGUGGGGCGGAUCGGCCACACGGGGACUGAGACACGGCCCUGGCUCCUGCGGGAGGCAGCAGAAUGGAAUCGUCCACAGUAGUCGAAAGCCUUGUGGAGCAAUGCCGCGUGAAUGAAGGAGGUCUUCGGUUCGUGAAGUUCUGUUAUGAGUUAAGAACAAGUCAAGGAUUAACUGUCUUGACUGUGACGGUACCUAACCAGAAAGUCACGGCUAACUACGUG
rnacentral:rRNA from 1 species